CUAGAAACAAUAUGCAGUCAAAUUUUCAGAUACUUUGGAAUCAGUGUUUUUAAAUUUUCUUAAAGAGGUAAACUAACAACAACAACAACAUCAUCAUCAUCAAACGUGGUACAUGAAGCACCUCUACCAAUGAGGUUUCCUUUACAGUAGGCAAAGGAGAUGGCUUUGAUGCUGAACAAGGUCCUCAGUGUCUCACUUGGUAGGAGAGGGUAUAUUUAUCUUGUCAACAACACUAUGUACAGGAUGGUUUUCUAUGAAUAAAGUUCAAUGGCAAAAAAGAGGAAGUUUUCAACUUAUCUAGAAGUCUAUAUUAUAUUGUGUCAAGGACAAGAGGAGCUUUCAAGGCUGGUUUUGUUUUGACCAAGUUAACAGUUACACACUGUUAUAAUUGUAGACAUUUUCUUAUGUCUGCAGGAAUAAAAGUGUAAAACUAAAACGUUUGUCAUACGCUUCUGCUGUGCAGAGGGAUGGUAAUUCUUUUGUAUAUUCUUUAAUGUUAUUGUAAAAUAUAAAGUAACUUUUACUAUUUGCUGUGGGCAGGUCCUCAGUGCAAUGGUCUAUAGCAAGUCAGUCUCUGGCAUUAACAGGCUCUUGCUUGCUCUCUAAGUGUUUCAAGCUACAUGAAUGUGAAACACUGGAAGGCAAGGAAAUUAACCAUUAUGGCAUGUGUUAGUAAAACUGUAUUUCACUUAUCCCUGUGGAAUUUCUUGCUGUAGCAAAGGUACUGUGCAAACUGAGUGUUCUAGCCUUAACUUCCCCAGAAAGAGCACUGUCAAGAACUGGGAGUCCUGUCAGGCACAUUCUUGUUUCUAAGCAUUUUUCCUUUUUACAAAAUAAAUACUGGCUUUGUAACAUAGAGCACAUGAAAUAGAAAGUGUCAGUACUAUCUUAAAUUGAUUUAUUGAAGUACGACAGUAACUAACUUCCAGUCACUGUGUGUACGAAACCACAUAUUUACAUUUAUAGAAAACUCAUAAAAUAACAAGGAUUUGGGUAAAGACAACACAUUUGCCUCUUUAUAAUAAGUUAUUUGCGAUGAAUUGUUCUUCAUAAUUAAAAGUGCAAGGAAAAAUGUAUCUUUCAAAGUUCAAUGGAAGUUCAAUGGAAUUUGUUAAUAAGAACAAACGAACAAACCAACCAAACGAAAAUGUUAAAUUAUCCAGGAUCCUUGCCUCUUGACAGUGCGGCUUUUACAUGGACUCAUUCCUGUUUGCACAGAAGGCUUCUGUCUUUUGGAAGCUGAAAACCGAAUACUGUGGACAUGGCGACUUGUCAGCCUGUGUACAUAGGACAAUGAUAAGCUGCCAGUUGAGUGGGAUAGCUGGAUGCUGACCCCCAAAAGGCAACACUGUGGUGAUGACUUGUAUUAUAAAUUCUCUGUAGUUAAUAAAGUUGUUAUUUUUAU
rnacentral:lncRNA from 1 species